AUGUCAUGGGCUUGACUAAGAGACGUUUCCCCAGGCAACACUAUGUCCACCUCCACAAAAUAGUUGCAUCCAAAGUAUACUGUGAGGCAUAGUUUCACUACUGUCACAGAUGACAUUAUUCCGACCAUCCAUCUUACUUUCUCUGGAUCUCUAUCUGGUUGAGCCUGCAAUCGAUUCAUAGACAAAUGUAUAGAGAAAUGAAUGGUAUGUUAUUUUGUAUCAAUUUAUAACCAAGCCUGUUUACCUUUGAAAUAAGUUCUCGAGCUGAUUCAAGUAAUAUCUGUAUUCCAAGAGUUGCCAUGACGGAUGCAAACACGACGAUUCCCUGCAUAAAUCUGAAAGGUUAGUCCAUGCUAUUUUGCUUUCUUUUCUGUGUGUUCUAACAUGAUUUGACUUUUUUUCUGCUUGUGAACUUGUUUAUUAAUUGCAUGACAACGUAAAAGAGUUUUUAGCAUUAGUCUUGAAAAAUAUAAGGUGUGUUAUUUCUCCAUAUAGACCAUCCUUCAUUUUCUUAGACUAGCAUUCCCAUUCUUCAUUCAACAGAGACUUGAAUAGCCAAGUUUUGUUGAUAGAGAUAACUUGCCACUGGUUGCAUUUGAUUCUUUCCGAUAGGAUAACGAUACUGAUUUGGCUUUCUCAUAGCAUUAGCUGUAAACCAUAAUAUAAACCCUGAUAAAAGAUCCAACAGGGAAUCUAUUGUUGAAGCUAUAACUGCAAGUGAUCUGCUCUCAACUGAAGCGUAUACUUUUGCGACGAAGAUCACCAUGUUAGCUAUGUUGGAUGCAUAUAUUGCCAGUCUCUCACGGCAAGCAGAACUCGUCCAUGUUCAGUCGCCACGAGGGAAUCUUCGUCACCAUUCCAUCUGUUCCAGCAGCCACACCCUCCGGCGACAAAAGCUCUGUUCUGAAAGAAUCUGUUCUGGGAUUAAUAUCCGUCAUUGUUGUUCUUAACCCGACUAAGAAUCUGGUUAAUAGGAAGAAGUCCUCUGUUACUUGAAACUAGAGAGACCAUUAUAAAGGGGAAGACAAUGGUGCAGUGUUGCUGAGGAAGUUGGAGACGUUGAAUAUAAUAGAGGAAAGUGGAUUCAGUAAACAAGGGCAUGGAAAGGGUCGGAAGGGGUGAUUUGAAGGUUUUGCAUUAAAUAAUUGAAAUACUUGGGGUUUCGGGAAUUGCUUUGUAGGAUUUCACGUGCUUUCUUGCAAGUAUAACAGAAUAAUCGAUGCUUUUUUUCAACUUCGGCAUAUAAUGAUUGUUUUCAAAUCUUUCUGAAGGUU